UGGGGAAUUUUGGACAAUGGGGGCAACCCUGAUCCAGCCAUGCCGCGUGAGUGAAGAAGGCCUUCGGGUUGUAAAGCUCUUUCGCGAGGGAAGAAAACGCAUUCGCUAAUACCGGAUGUGGAUGACGGUACCUUGAUAAGAAGCACCGGCUAACUACGUGCCAGCAGCCGCGGUAAUACGUAGGGUGCGAGCGUUAAUCGGAAUUACUGGGCGUAAAGCGUGCGCAGGCGGUUUUUUAAGACAGGCGUGAAAUCCCCGGGCUCAACCUGGGAAUGGCGCUUGUGACUGGAAGGCUAGAGUACGGCAGAGGGGGGUAGAAUUCCACGUGUAGCAGUGAAAUGCGUAGAGAUGUGGAGGAAUACCGAUGGCGAAGGCAGCCCCCUGGGUCGAUACUGACGCUCAUGCACGAAAGCGUGGGGAGCAAACAGG
rnacentral:rRNA from 1 species